CUAACCACCUUCUUUUUCUUGUUUCACGAGACGACGAUAGCGAUGAAUAUGGAGAAUGAAGAGAGGCCUGGAGAAUGACGAGAAUUUGUUAUGGAUGAAGAGAUUCAAGUUGUUGGACAUUUGUGAAGCUGAAUAUAAGAUGGAGAGUGAGGAUACUGCAGCUUUGGAGAGCUUGAAAUUUGUCGAGAAAGAUAGGGCCUUCUCAUCAUAGCAGGUUGGAUCACGCAAGAAGGAUGAGAAAGGUUUCAUAGGUAUGGAACAAGCUUGAAUGGGAUUUGGCAGCCAGUCUUUUGAUAAGCUAUAACAUCUUAAGGAACACUUAGGCUUACGAUGGAUAUAUAACCCUUUCUUUGUAAUUUCUCAAAAAUGUAAUGGCAAUACGACUUGCAAUUUGUAAUUCUAAAGAGAAACAU